rnacentral:ncRNA from 1 species
CGCGUUUUUCGCCCAGGCGGAGCUCGGCCAUCUCUGAAGUCUUGAUGGAGCUCAUCGGUCAGAACCGCCGCGAGGUCACGCUGAUCUGCAAGGUGUUGCAGGUCGCCCCA